GCCUUCAUGGUGUAGCGGUCAGCACGCUCGACGUGUAUUCGAGAGGUUCCUGGUUCGAGUCCCGGAGAAGGCA